UACGGGGGGGGCAAGCGUUGUUCGGAAUUACUGGGCGUAAAGGGUUCGUAGGUGGCCAAUUAAGUCAGACGUGAAAUCCCUCAGCUUAACUGGGGAACUGCGUCUGAGACUGGACGGCUUGAGUGCAGGAGAGGAACGCGGAAUUCCAGGUGUAGCGGUGAAAUGCGUAGAUAUCUGGAGGAACACCGGUGGCGAAGGCGGCAUCCUGGACCAACACUGACGCUGAGGAGCGAAAGCCAGGGGAGCAAACGGG
rnacentral:rRNA from 1 species